rnacentral:lncRNA from 1 species
AACUCCUGGAGUGGAUAACGGAGCCGAGUAACCCCAGCAAAGUGAAGCCUCAGCUCAAGCUGGAUGGAGACGACAGGAAGAAGAAGGCAGUGUCUGCGGACCCCCUCCCCAGAUUCAGAUGACUUCAUGACUUGGGGUUCCUGGUUGGCAAAGCAUUGAUCCUUGCAUGUUUGACCUUCCCACACAGUCAGGAGGAAGCCAGGACCAUAGAGACCUUGGCAUUUCCACAGAGUUCCUCUGAUGUUAGGGUAAGCAUGAAACUUUGGUAGCGAGUAUGGAAUGGAAACCAGAUCCACAAAGUUUAUUAGCAUUUUAAUAAAAUGAAGCACCUAAAACCUAGUAGCUGUUAU